ACUACCCAAAAGUUUUGAUAACCUCUUUCUUCGUACGAGUCAAGUUCAUAACUAUAAUACACGUCAGUCUAACUUGUAUCAUAUCCCCUUUUGCAGAACAAACAUUAGAAAAUUCUCAGUUAGUUACCAAGCCCCGAAAUUUUUUAAUACAUUAAGUUGCGAUAUUCGCAAUGCGUCAAGUGUUUCUUUAUUUCAGUCUAAAUUAAAAAAAUACUUGUUUUCCUCGUAAUUGCCUUAACAUUCAUUAUUUUUCUUCUUUAUUUGACAAUUUAAUAUUUUUUAUUUUAUUGCUUUUAUUAUUCAUCUGUAAUGAUAUAUUAUUAUUACUGUAAUUACUGUAUUUUGAUAUCAGUAUAUUGAUAUCAGUAUAAUUAUUGUUUCCACCGUACCGUCUCCAUAUCUAUCAGAGCAAGUUUGUAGUAUAAAGGAGCCCAAUUUUAUAAGCCUUUUGGUUUCUUUUGGGCUUCCUUGCCUUCUCCUAUUCACUUAUUAAAUUUGUAAAUAUCUAACUUGUCGC